rnacentral:rRNA from 1 species
UACGUACGGGAGGCAGCAGUGAGGAAUAUUGGUCAAUGGACGCAAGUCUGAACCAGCCAAGUAGCGUGCAGGAUGACGGCCCUAUGGGUUGUAAACUGCUUUUAUGUGGGAAUAAAUUGGCGCACGUGUGCGCCAUUGCAUGUACCUCAUGAAUAAGGACCGGCUAAUUCCGUGCCAGCAGCCGCGGUAAUCGUA